UACGGGGGGGGCAAGCGUUGUUCGGAAUUACUGGGCGUAAAGGGCUCGUAGGCGGCCAACUAAGUCAGACGUGAAAUCCCUCGGCUUAACCGGGGAACUGCGUCUGAUACUGGAUGGCUAGAGGUUGGGAGAGGGAUGCGGAAUUCCAGGUGUAGCGGUGAAAUUCGUAGAUAUCGGGAGGAACACCAGUGGCGAAGGCGGCGAUCUGGGAAGAUACUGACGCUGAGGUGCGAAAGCGUGGGGAGCAAACAGG
rnacentral:rRNA from 1 species